rnacentral:rRNA from 1 species
GCGAACGGGAUUAGAUACCCUGGUAGUCCACGCUGUAAACGAUGUCGAUUUGGAGGUUGUGCCCUUGAGGCGUGGCUUCCGGAGCUAACGCGUUAAAUCGACCGCCUGGGGAGUACGGCCGCAAGGUUAAAACUCAAAUGAAUUGACGGGGGCCCGCACAAGCGGUGGAGCAUGUGGUUUAAUUCGAUGCAACGCGAAGAACCUUACCUACUCUUGACAUCCAGAGAACUUUCCAGAGAUGGAUUGGUGCCUUCGGGAACUCUGAGACAGGUGCUGCAUGGCUGUCGUCAGCUCGUGUUGUGAAAUGUUGGGUUAAGUCCCGCAACGAGCGCAACCCUUAUCCUUUGUUGCCAGCGGUUCGGCCGGGAACUCAAAGGAGACUGCCAGUGAUAAACUGGAGGAAGGUGGGGAUGACGUCAAGUCAUCAUGGCCCUUACGAGUAGGGCUACACACGUGCUACAAUGGCAUAUACAAAGAGAAGCGACCUCGCGAGAGCAAGCGGACCUCAUAAAGUAUGUCGUAGUCCGGAUUGGAGUCUGCAACUCGACUCCAUGAAGUCGGAAUCGCUAGUAAUCGUAGAUCAGAAUGCUACGGUGAAUACGUUCCCGGGCCUUGUACACACCGCCCGUCACACCAUGGGAGUGGGUUGCAAAAGAAGUAGGUAGCUUAACCUUCGGGAGGGCGCUUACCACUUUGCGAUUCAUGACUGGGG